GCUGAAGCUAGCGAACAAUAACUAGCGAACAAUAAGCCAGCGAACAAUAAGGCGAUAUAUCUAAAAACCGAAAAAAUGAAUAAGACAGCAACGGCCGUCAAAUGAAAAAUAUUUAAAAAGGCAGACAUUCCGUCCAAAUAUUGCAAUUUCAACUCUAUCGUGAGAUAGUAUUUAUCCCAUCCAUUGAUAAAACAAGUCGCAUCUCUUUUUAGGCUAAUAUUCAGUACCACAGUAAAUCUGCAUCUGUCAAGGGAUUAUUUGUAGGUGUAAGACCACUAAUGCACCCACUUCAAUUUAGAACGUAUGUAAAAGUAGUCCUUUCCUGUAAAAUACAGCACCUUUGAUGUCAUUUUUUAAUUGAACUAAGAUACACAUUUGCAGAAAUGGUGGUUUACCUAUUCCAUGGCUUCUAGAGAAAAAUAAUGAGGGGUGUCACGGGGUAUGACUAUAUAGGUCUUGUAGAGGAGAAACAGGCGCAUCUUUUGCGCAAGGUAUCGAAGGGCGCUAUGUUCAAAAAUCAGAAACUAGAGCUGAAGAUUUAAAAAAAAAUGUUAAAAACAGGAGGUUUGGCCUAUUCCAUGGCUUCUAGAGAAAAAUAAUGAGGGGUGUCACGGGAUAUGACUAUAUAGGUCUUGUAGAGGAGAAACAGGCGCAUCUUUUGCGCAAGGUAUCGAAGGGCGCUAUGUUCAAAAAUCUGAAACUAGAGCUCAAAAUUAAAAAAAAAAAUGUUAAAAACAGGGGGGUUGGCCUAUUCCAUGGCUUCUAGAGAAAAAUAAUGAGGGGUGUCACGGGGUACGACUAUAUAGGUCUUGUAGAGGAGAAACAGGCGCAUCAUUUGCGCAAGGUAUCGAAGGGCGCUAUGUUCAAAAAUCUGAAACUAGAGCUCAAAAUAAAAAAAAAAUUGUUAAAAACAGGGGGGUUGGCCUAUUCCAUGGCUUCUAGAGAAAAAUAAUGAGGGGUGUCACGGGGUAUGACUAUAUAGGUCUUGUAGAAGAGAAACAGGCGCAUCUUUUGCGCAAGGUAUCGAAGGGCGCUAUGUUCAAAAAUCUGAAACUAGAGCUCAAAAUUUAAAAAAAAAAUGUUAAAAACAGGGGGGUUGGCCUAUUCCAUGGCUUCUAGAGAAAAAUAAUGAGGGGUGUCACGGGGUAUGACUAUAUAGGUCUUGUAGAGGAGAAACAGGCGCAUCUUUUGCGCAAGGUAUCGAAGGGCGCUAUGUUCAAAAAUCUGAAACUAGAGCUCAAAAUUAAAAAAAAAAAUGUUAAAAACAGGGGGGUUGGCCUAUUCCAUGGCUUCUAGAGAAAAAUAAUGAGGGGUGUCACGGGAUAUGACUAUAAAGGUCUUGUAGAGGAGAAACAGGCGCAUCUUUUGCGCAAGGUAUCGAAGGACGCUAUGUUCAAAAAUCUGAAACUAGAGCUCAAAAUUUAAAAAAAAAAUGUUAAAAACAGGGGGGUUGGCCUAUUCCAUGGCUUCUAGAGAAAAAUAAUGAGGGGUGUCACGGGGUAUGACUAUAUAGGUCUUGUAGAGGAGAAACAGGCGCAUCUUUUGCGCAAGGUAUCGAAGGGUGCUAUGUUCAAAAAUCUGAAACUAGAGCUCAAAAUUAGAAAAAAAAAAUGUUAAAAACAGGGGGGUUGGCCUAUUUCAUGGCUUCUAGAGAAAAAUACUGAGGGGUGUCACGGGACAUGACUAUAUAGGUCUUGUAGAGGAGAAACAGGCGCAUCUUUUGCGCAAGGUAUCAAAGGGCGCUAUGUUCAAAAAUCUGAAACUAAAGCUCAAAAUUAAAAAAAAAAAAUGUUAAAAACAGGGGGGGUGGCCUAUUCCAUGGCUUCUAGAGAAAAAUAAUGAGGGGUGUCACGGGACAUGACUAUAUAGGUCUUGUAGAGGAGAAACAGGCGCAUCUUUUGCGCAAGGUAUCGAAGGGCGCUAUGUUCAAAAAUCUGAAACUAGAGCUCAAAAUUAGAAAAAAAAAAUGUUAAAAACAGGGGGGUUGGCCUAUUUCAUGGCUUCUAGAGAAAAAUAAUGAGGGGUGUCACGGGACAUGACUAUAUAGGUCUUGUAGAGGAGAAACAGGCGCAUCUUUUGCGCAAGGUAUCGAAGGGCGCUUUGUUCAAAAAUCUGAAACUAGAGCUCAAAAUUAAAAAAAAAAUGUUAAAAACAGGGGGGUUGGCCUAUUCCAUGGCUUCUAGAGAAAAAUAAUGAAGGGUGUCACGGGGUACGACUAUAUAGGUCUUGUAGAGGAGAAACAGGCGCAUCCUUUGCGCAAGGUAUCGAAGUGCGCUAUGUUCAAAAAUCUGAAACUAGAGCUCAAAAUUAAAAAAUGUUAAAAACAGGGGGGUUGGCCUAUUCCAUGGCUUCUAGAGAAAAAUAAUGAGGGGUGUCACGGGGUACGACUAUAUAGGUCUUGUAGAGGAGAAACAGGCGCAUCUUUUGCGCAAGGUAUCGAAGGGCGCUAUGUUCAAAAAUCUGAAACUAGAGCUCAAAAUAAAAAAAAAAUUGUUAAAAACAGGGGGGUUGGCCUAUUCCAUGGCUUCUAGAGAAAAAUAAUGAGGGGUGUCACGGGGUAUGACUAUAUAGGUCUUGUAGAGGAGAAACAGGCGCAUCUUUUGCGCAAGGUACCGAAGGGCGCUAUGUUCAAAAAUCUGAAACUAGAGCUCAAAAUUUAAAAAAAAAAUGUUAAAAACAGGGGGGUUAGUCUAUUCCAUGGCUUCUAGAGAAAAAUAAUGAGGAGUGUCACGGGGUAUGACUAUAUAGGUCUUGUAGAAGAGAAACAGGCGCAUCUUUUGCGCAAGGUAUCGAAGGGCGCUAUGUUCAAAAAUCUGAAACUAGAGCUCAAAAUUAGAAAAAAAAAAUGUUAAAAACAGGGGGGUUGGCCUAUUUCAUGGCUUCUAGAGAAAAAUAAUGAGGGGUGUCACGGGACAUGACUAUAUAGGUCUUGUAGAGGAGAAACAGGCGCAUCUUUUGCGCAAGGUAUCGAAGGGCGCUAUGUUCAAAAAUCUGAAACUAGAGCUCAAAAUUUAAAAAAAAAAUGUUAAAAACAGGGGGGUUGGCCUAUUCCAUGGCUUCUAGAGAAAAACAAUGAGGAGUGUCACGGGGUAUGACUAUAUAGGUCUUGUAGAGGAGAAACAGGCGCAUCUUUUGCGCAAGGUAUCGAAGGGUGCUAUGUUAAAAAUUUGAAACUAGAGCUCAAAAUUAAAAAAAAAAUGUUAAAAACAGUGGGUUGGCCUAUACCAUGGCUUCUACAGAAAAAUAAUGGUGGGUAGUAGUGUAAAAAGGAGGAUUCUGCUGCAUUUGCCAUUUUUAAGCGCAAAUCCUGCAUAGGGACCCCAACCUCAAUCAUAAAAUGCAAAUUCAUUGUGUUUCAACUAGUCUAAGGGUAGAAACAAGGAUAUGGCUUUUUGUAAACAAUGGUAGAUACACCUUAAAGGGAAGUAAUCCUAGGGGUAGAUACAGAAAUAUGGCUUUCGUACAGAAGAUGGAGGAACUCAGAAGUUAAAAAAUCGUAGACGACGAUUUUAUUAAUGACAAUGUUUUUAAAGGAAAAGGCAAAGGACCAGAGCCUGGAAAUUCUAAAAUGGAAGACACUCCCAACCUGGGUAAAAUAUAAAAUUCUAGAAGUGGUAGAAGUAGAUGGGAAGUUUGGGAGGAGUAAGAUCUUCACCUUGAAAAACAGAGAAGGAGAAACGACAAGAGUAUGGGCCUGCAGUAGUCUGAACAGAGAGAAGGAACCCUUGGAAGGAGCCUUCGUGAGAAGUAAAGGCUUAAAAGUUAGUAAAAUGACCAAA